rnacentral:tRNA from 1 species
GCCGGGGUCGCUUAGCCUGGCAGAGCGCCAGCCUGGAAAGCUGGUGUCCUAACGGACGCAAGGGUUCAAAUCCCUUUCCCGGCGCCA